AAGCUGAAACUUAAAGGAAUUGACGGAAGGGCACCACCAGGAGUGGAGCCUGCGGCUUAAUUUGACUCAACACGGGGAAACUCACCCGGCCCGGACACUGUGAGGAUUGACAGAUUGAUAGCUUUUUCAUGAUUCAGUGGAUGGUGGUGCAUGGCCGUUCUUAGUUCGUGGAGUGAUUUGUCUGGUUUAUUCCGAUAACGAGCGAGACUCUAACCUACUAAAUAGUUGGUACAUACUCUUAGUGUAUACAGCUUCUUAGAGGGAUUUGCGGCGUUCAGCCGAAAGAAAUUGAGCAAUAACAGGUCUGUGAUGCCCUUAGAUGUCCGGGGCUGCACGCGCGCUACACUGGCAAAAUCAACGUGCUUGUCCUACCCUGAAAGGGGCGGGUAAACCAUUGAAAAUUUGCCGUGAUUGGGAUCGGAAAUUGCAAUUAUUUUCCGUGAACGAGGAAUUCCAAGUAAGUGCGAGUCAUCAGCUCGCGUUGAUUACGUCCCUGCCCUUUGUACACACCGCCCGUCGCUGCCCGGGACUGAGCCAUUUCGAGAAAUUUGGGGACCGUUGAUUUAAUUUUUCUAAAU
rnacentral:rRNA from 3 species